CGGUGGGGCCAAGGGAGGGCGCAACAGCUGCUACCUCAACACUUUCUGACCCAACGGUCACCCAGCGCCGGACUCGCUGCGCCCCGGCGGCUCUAGGGACCCCUGGCGCCUACACUUAGCUCCGCGCCCGAGAGAAUGUUGGACCGACGACACAAGACCUCAAACUUGUGUUAUUCUAGCAGCUGAACACACCCCAGGCUCUUCUGACCGGCAGUGGCUCUGGAAGCAGUCUGGUCUAUAGAGUUAUGGAUUCACUACCAGAUUCUACUGUAUGCUCUGACAACUAUGACCACAAUGGUCCACCCACAAAUGAAUUAUCAGGAGUGAACCCAGAGGCACGUAUAAAUGAAAGGUGAGUUAUGCAUAUGUGUGUC